GUGAAAGUAUGAAGAGUUGUUGACUGCGUCGGGUCGGGGUGUUGGUCCGGAGUCUGGACGGUGAGUUACUACACACUACGAGACUGGUUCCACACAGCUGUAGAUUGAUGUUCUAAGACCACCGAGGUCUACUGGACUUAACAGGAAAGAAGAAGAGGAACUAGAUCACCUGGAUAUUAUCAGAACAUCUGAUGUUCUAAAGUCGAGAAGAUGAGUAGAUAUGGGUGUGACCGUUUAAUGGCUAGAUUGCGUGAACACUCAAACUCAAAAAGUCGUCCAAACUUUCACGCUGAACCCAGAUCUUCACAAACACGUGUCCGGUCUACUCCACGCUACCAGGACACCCGGAAGGUGACUGAAUCUGAAAAUAUGUCUGAGAGAACAGAAUCCGAGGAAUGUCCUCCUAACUUCUGACACUGAACCCAGACCUUUAUGAACCAAGAUUCACUGAAGAUGAGGAAGAGGAUCAGCAUCUUCAAUGUGCCACUCUCCUUUCCGCUGUGCACCCCCCCCAACUGGUCGUCACACACCGCCUACCAAGGGUCUGGGCCUGGGUCUGGGUCUCUGGGUCUGGGUCUGUCCCAGGUUUCUCCCUAAAAGGAAGUUUUUCCUCUCCACUGUUGCUUGCUCUGGAGGAAACUACUAGACCUGUUGGGUCCUUGUAAAUUCUGGAGUGUGGUCUAGACCUGGUCUAUCUGUAAAGGGUCUUGAGAUAACUCUUGUUAUGAAUUGAUACUAUAAAUAAAAUUGAAUUGAAAUGUCA